rfam:Gossypium arboreum cultivar AKA8401 contig_18570_1, whole genome shotgun sequence.
UGAAGAAACAUUGUUGAGUGCAGCGUUGAUGAGCUUUUUUUCUGUUUUGAUAAGUUCAUCAACACUGCAUUCAACGAUGUUUCUU